UGGGCCACCCAAGGGACCGCCAAAUGGGCCUCCAGUUGGGCCGCCCAAGGGACUGUUAAGGGGCCGCCAAAUGAGCCGCCAGUUGGGUCUCCCAAGGGGUCAAGGGGCCGGGUCGUUACAACUUCAUACUUCUUAAUCUACCAAGGUCAAGGGAUUUUACUUCCUUGUCCAUCUUCAUCUCCGCAUUUAUCAGAGCUCCAUCCAUCAUCGUCCUCAUCCACUAGCUCAUCCACCGCCGACCAUCCACACUACUAGCUAUAGCCAGUUAAGGGGAUUGCCCUUCCUUGAGCCAUCUUUUCUUGAUUACAACGAGAUCCAAUCUUCAUCUUCCUUCAGCGACCAUCCUUCAUCCACCGAAGUCUAAGGGGAUUGCCCUUCUUUGGAUUCCAUCAGCAAUCCUAUUGUAGAUCAUUUUUCAUGCGAUUGACUUGUUGGAAGAAUGUUAGUUAAAUUUCCUUAUGCAUUUAAAACUGAGUAUGUUGGACUUCAAUUCUAUGUCUAUUAGUUGAAUAACUUUGUGUUGCAUUCUUGUUUUAGUUUUCCUUUAGUUCUUAUUUGCUGCAAUAGGAUUGAUCCUAGUUCCUUUAUGAUCAUGUUCCAUUAGAUCAUUUGUUCAAGUUAGUUUAAUUCCCUUGAAUUCUUGUUUACAUUGUAUUGUUUAGUUGUUACUGUUCAGUUAGAUGAGUUGAUACAUGUAGAUUAGGUUUAAUUAGAUUGAAUUGUUUGCAUUUCCAUAAGUUGUUUGCAUUCAUAGUCCGGUUACUUUAUUUUCCAUUAGAUGUAUCAUUCUUUUAAUUAUUAUUUACUUUUGGUAUUUAGCAUUUGAAAACCCAAAACCUUAGUUUCAAAUAAGUUGAUCCUAAGAUUUAUCAUCAUCAACUACUUUCCUUGUAAGAGACAAUCCGGGUCAUUCCCUAUGCUAUACUAGUGUAGAGAGGGGUUUUAGUGAUAUUGUGUGUAAAUGUGUCACGACAACAUGUUUUAUCAAAUGUGACACCUUUGUCGGGGAACUGUGAACAGUAUUUGGUAAUUUUAGAAUUGUUUCUUUUAUGUUUGUUUAUAAAAAAAAUUGAAAAAAAUUGUGUCAAGUGUUUUCACAUUCAAAUAUCCAUGUCUUUGAUUUUACAUGUUUCCUGUAUCGUUUAUCUUGUUUUCUAGUGUUUUAAUGAAAGAACAUGAAAAUUCUUGUGUGUGACCAUGGAUUCAGAUUAUCAACAAUUUAGAGAUGUUAAUGGGACUUAUGGUUUUGGUUGGAGAGAACAACCAGAUUACAUGUAUAUGGACACACAACAAUGGAAUCCAAAGCCUUAAUAUUACUAGCCUCAAUGUUGUCAAUUAAUACUACUCACCCAUGGAGCAACAAAAUAGGUAUUAGUUAUUUUCAAAUACCUAUAAUUCUAAUUGGGUGGAUUAUUCAAAUUUCAAGUGUGAGGAUACACAAAGUCAAUUUACUGAGCUAUAUCCGUUGUAUCAGAGCCCAAGGGAAUUCCAGGAUGAUUCAACAUCUAUAUAGCCACAUUCACUCCAGCAGUGUGAGCCAGCUCCCUAAGGAUAUUCCAGGACUACAAUGUUGCUUACAAUUAAAUGAAGACAUCAUUGUAAGAAACAGAAGAACUCUAGCAGCAGCUAGCAGUACAAAUGUACCAACAAAUGAUCCAUAGGUACCAGACUCAGUAGCAAAUUGAUGCAUCAUGUCAGGCUUUGAAGAUACAGUUGGAUGAACUUAGCAAUUAUAGCCUAACGAUAAGCACAAUAUCCAAUGAGGAGAUGGAUUGUAGAGCUUGUGGUAGUCUUGAUGCUAACGUUGCUACUCUAUAGGACUCCUCUAGUGUUGAUCAUGAUGGGAAGCCAAUUGAGUCUAACUAUGCAUUUGUUGAUGAGGAGAGUGUAGGGGCUUAUGCUAUGGAGGCAAAGCCCAAGAAUCACUUCCUUUGGUUGUACAUUCACCUAACCCAGAGCUUGAGAUAGAGCUAGAGCCAUUACCUAACUAGAAGAUGGCCAUAUUCAUUUCUCCAGAAUCUCCAGGUACCUUCCAGUAUGACAAGGCUCCCGGAGUGGUUACUCCAAUUGAACUGCCUUCUACUUCCAUGAAGAAUUUUCAAUGAGCAUGUAGUGGAGGGAGCGGUCAUUACCUCAUUGUAUAGCAUUCCAUUCCCACAGUGGAUUUUGCAUCUAAACCAUCUUUGACCACUUGGAAGUACCAUCGAGGAGAGAGGGAGGGAGCGUUGCACCAUGAUACUGAUCACCUGAGGAUAGCUCUCUCGUCUAUUCGGACCAUCCCACUACCGGCAAGGAUGCUACUUCUGAAUUGUUUACAAUUGCCGAGAAUAAAGGGGAGUCUGUUCUUUGCUUUUCUUUUUACUUCAUAUUUUUCUUUACUUUCACACUUUGCUUCCAUAUUUUGCUUUUAUAUGUUGCAUUUUAUUUGGUCUAUAUAACGUUGAUUUUGAAUAAACAUCUCCUUGUAUAUUUCUUAGUAAUAUUUUGAGGAUAGUAAAAGUUUUUAAGUUUGACCAUCAUGUUUUAGGUCAUUGGACAUGAUUGAAUGCUAUACUUGCAUAUUAUCAGUUGGUGUGGUGAUGGAAUGUAUUUUGAUUAAUUGAGUUUGAUUGCCAAAUUACCUAGAGAGGACUACCACAAGCCUAUUCUUUAUUCUCUUUGGUGUGAUUGUAGUCAUGACAAUUGAACUCUAGAACUUGGUUUAUUGUGAGUUUGAAAUCACAAUAGCAUAUGUGUGCAUGAACGUGAUGAAGGAUAUUUCCUUUCCAUUCUUUGACUUCUUUUCCUUUCAAAGGCUAGUUGAAUUACUCACUCGACACUUUCAUCAUCUACCACCUUCGAUUGAGAGUUUGGUUGAUAACUUGAUAAGUUAGAUUACCCGAGAUGGACAAAAUUUUAAGUGUGGGGAAAUUACAUAUGUUUGAGGUUCAUGGAGGUGCCCCUUUCAAAUUGUUUAGUAAUUUUGAGAUUGAUGAAUUCUCGUGUGAAUGUACCAAGUAUAAUUCGAAAAUUGAAGAGGCACAACUUGGUUGGGUUGUUUGAAGCAAACAUCAUCAAUUGGCUUGAAUGAGAUUGUUCAAGUGUGAUUCACAUGCUGUAGGGAAAAAAGAAGAAGAUUUCUUAGAUCUUAAGAGAGAAGCAAGUGUGGAUCAAAUUACAGGGUGGGAACUUAAUGUAUCAGCUGUUCAAAGUUUCAAUCAGUAUCUGAAUAAAUGUUUGGGCUGUUAAUGGAGGUUGUUGGCUGACUUAAUGAAUUCUGUUGUUGAAUUUGUAAGCUGAACCUAGUUUCCUACUCUUGCUGUUGCUGAAGGAACUGAUUUGACAGUUUGAAGGAGCCUAAUACCUGUGAUGGGAUCAUAAUCUCUUUUCUGCUCCUAUCAAGUUACUGGUGUUUCAAAACUAAUCAAACCUAAGAAUUAGAAUUCUGAAACUAAACCUAUAGAAGCUGAUUUCUGAAAUGCAGAAAUCAGAAUUAUUUGAAAGGAAUUGCAGGAACUGAAAUAGUUUACAACUCACAAGAGAAGACUAGAACUGAAUCUGAUUUCUGAAAUUGUGGUAUGAAAUUCUAAGUUGAAUGUCUGAAACUGAAUUCUGAAUUUGAAUUUUGUAGGCUUGUUGUCUGGUAUCAGAUUUUUGGAAUUAUUGUAAUGCAGGAAUCUGUCUUUAAUUAUCUGUUUCAGCUAGGUAAUUUUAGAGAUCAAAAUCAAAUUGUUGUACUCCAUUAGUAUGCAAGAGAAAAAUUAGAAAAGAUGAGCUCAAGGAAAAGAUUAGUUGAAUGUUAACAAAUUGAUGAACCAGCUAGAUUCAUACAGAGUUCUAAAUUUUUCAGAAUUACAAUUUUCUGAAACUGUCUGAUCUUAACAGAACCAUAAUGCUGUUAAUUAGUUGGUGUUGUGUAGAGAUGUUGAGGUUUGUUUCUCUUGUUGUUGUGUAGCUGUUAAUAGUGCAUCAGCCAUGCUAAAAUCUAGACUACUGAACAAGCAGUGAGACCUUUUGUUCCUGUUUCAACUUGUAGUUGUUGUGUGCCAAUUUAUUCUGAAAUUCUCUAACGGGAAACAAUUUCAAUUGAACCUGUUACCACUCAUUGUCAUUUGUUGUUCGUUUCUUUCCAAGAUUUCCAUGGUUCAAAGCAUGCAAUUUCAGUGGAUGUAAUUCCUGAAACUAUCUAGUCUGCAUACAAAUCCAAUCCCUUAGAUUUUCUGAUUAGUGGGCGUUUUGGGAGCUGACUCCUGAAACUGAAAUACAGUAGUUGGUUUAAAUUUGGUAACUCCUGCAUCUUGAGCAAAAAGAAGGCAUUCUGAUCUGCAAUUUAAAGGCAUUAGAAGAAGUGUAAAAGAUACUAAGGUCAAGAAUUCAGCAAUGAAGCUGAAAUUGAUACCAAAUUUCAGAAUUUAAAGGACAACCUAUUGCUUUUGUUAAAUUUCUGAAAGGCAGGAAUCCAUUAAACUUGAAUCUGAAUUUGGAAUGCUGGAAAUGACAUCAAGAGCCCUGCAUUGUGCCAACUCUACUUGCUGAUUAUGAACAUCAAUAAUUCAAAUUCAAACUUCUACAAUUGCAGUGCUAAAUGAGUCCUUUGUCUAAGCUGAAUUCUUCAUUGACUUAAGUUGGAAUUCCCUUGAAUCCCAAUUCUGAAACUUAGAGCUUCAAUUCUGAAAAUUCUGAAAUUUGGUUCUGUAAUCUGAAGUUCUGAAAUGUUCAGGAAGGAGUCUUGACUGCAAAUUAAAAGCCUCUUUGGUGUGGCUAUUAUGGGGGGAGUUGAUGAACUUUAAUUAGCUGCUGGGCUGUUGCACACAGAUGAGGAGCUGCAGAAAAUAAGAAGGAUUGAAAAUAAAAAUUAAAAAACACAACAGUUUAGUGCCAAGUAGAUCCCUGUUUCUAACCAGCAAAUAACCCAAAUUGAGGAUGCUAACAAUUCAGUGCUAAAUGAUAUUAUAACCUUUGUAAACUCUUCAUGAUUCAGGCCUGAACUACUUCAGACUUUCAAAUUCUGAUACUGAAAUUUGAAGCAACAAAUGUUUAGACAUUAGUUUCAUUUCAGAGUUUCUUGGGCAUGGAUUAUGAAUAUGUUUUCUGAGUCUCUGAAAUGCAGGAAAUCAUCAAACUUGAAUCGAUUCUGAAUUUUGAAAUCCUAAAACUCUUUAGCAGCCCAAUUUAUUGAAUUCCUGCUAAACUGAGCUGAGUUCUGAAUUCUUCUGUUGAACUUGCCAAACAGAAACUUUAUAGGACUGAUUUCUGAUUUGAGUUUUUCAGGUUCCAUUUUCAGACUUCAACUCAAAGAACUUGAUAGGACCUCAAAGUCUCUAAAAUUUCGGUCAAACAAGUCAAUGGUUUAUGAAAUUUUGAUACAAUGAAUGAAGUGAAUUCCCUUAUUCUGAAAUUGGAAGAAGUAGCAACUUGAUAACCAUUGCAUAAGGGACAAUUGAAGUCUGAAAACCAAUAUUCAGUUAUCAGAUUUAUUUCUGAAUAUCUUCAGCUAUCAGAUUAAUUUCUGCAGAGAUUAAUUCCAUUCCUUCAUUAUUGAAAUUCCCAAGUUGUCUCAAUUUAUGGUGAAGAACAGUGCUACAAAGAAUGUGUAUCAGGUUGGAACUAUAGUGUGCCAAGUUCUUGAUGCAUCUGUCCUGUUAAGAGAAAAGCUUGAGUAAAUCUUUUGUUCCUUUCAGUGCUAACUGAUUUCUAGAAUUAGAAAUGCAAGAAGGGCUGCAGAUGAUUGCAGUGGCAGCCGUUGGAUGUUGAGUUACAAACGACAAUUUAAAUUGAAGCUAUAUCAUUUCAUUACUAAUUGGGUUCAUCUUUGUAGAUGACCAAGCUUACAAUUCUUGUUUGAAUCCAGCAGCUGGCUGAACACGAAACAAGAACAGGAAGCACUAGCUACAUUUAUGUGCGAUGUGAAUGAAAUGACUUAUUGAACCAAUGAGAUAUACAUCAAGAAAAGAAGGCAUUGAAGUGGGAAUGUCAUGUUGAUUCUAUUAUGGAACUUGUAAUUUUCAGAGUGGCACCAAGAUUGAGUACUCUCUUGCUACUACAUCAAUAGAAGAUAUUCUUUUAUGUGCAUAA